GUGAUGGCGAUUUAUUGGGCCUAAAGCGUCCGUAGCUGGCCCUGCAAGUCCGUCGGGAAAUCCACUCGCCUAACGAGUGGGCGUCCGGCGGAAACUACAGGGCUUGGGACCGGAAGACUUGAGGGGUACGUCUGGGGUAAGAGUGAAAUCCUGUAAUCCUGGACGGACCGCCGAUAGCGAAAGCACCUCAAGACGACGGAUCCGACAGUGAGGGACGAAAGCUAGGGUCUCGAAC
rnacentral:rRNA from 1 species